CGGAACUACUCAGUGGUGAAGGCUGUGCGGACACUGGGGGCCCGCCAGGGGUUUGGCCCCUUACUCAACCCAACCACGGUCCUCUCCGGCGCAGGCCGAUUUGAGGACCUAGACUCCUUGAUGCUGACGGCCUGAGGGGGCUCCCGGGUGCCGGAUAUCUGACACAGGCCAGGGAGGCUCCCCUGGGAGACCUGGCAGGCCUGGAGGUGUGAGUCGGCUCUGAGCAGCUGCUCUGGGAGAGCCAGUCCACGGAGCCAAAGCUGGAGGGCAGCUGCCGGCCACAAGUUGGGGAGGAGGAGAGACGCAAGGCCGUCAGAUGCUUGUCCUGGAAACCAACCAUGAGCUGUGAUGAAAUCCAGGCAACUGAGUUGUGUUUCAGCCCAAAGCAGCAAAUGGAAUCCAGCUUCAGGACCAUCAUCUGACAUAGGGGAAGAAGACUUACAUAGAAGGCCUAACCAGCACCCAAGAUCAUAACACUGUUAUGGGAAGUCAGGGACCCUGAAUGGAGGGACCGGCUGGAGCCAUGGCAGAGGAACAUAAAUUGUGAAGAUUUCAUCUUGAUAUGGACAUUUAUCAGUUCUUAAAUAAUACUUUUAUAAUUUCUUAUGCCUGUCUUUAAUCUCUUAAUCCUGUUAUCUUCAUAAACUGAGGAUGUACAUCACCUCAGGACCACUGUGAUAAUUGUGUUAACUGUACAAAUUGAUUGUAAAACAUGUGUGUUGGAACAAUAUGAAAUCAAGGCACCUUGAAAAAGAACAGAAUAAUAGCAAUUUUUAUGGAACAAGGGAAGACAACCAUAAGGUCUGACUGCCUGCGGGGUUGGGCAAAAAGAGCCAUAUUUUUCUUCUUGCAGAGAGCCUAUAAACAGAUGUGCAAGUAGGAAAUAUGUCACAAAAUUCUUUUCCUAGCAAGGAAUAUUAAUAUUAAUAUCCUGGGAAAAGAAGGAGUUCCUGUGGGGAGGUCUAUAAAUGGCAGCUCUGGGAAUGUCUGUCUUGUGCAGUUGAGAUAAGGACUGAAAUAAGCCCUGGUCUCCUGUAGAACCCUCAGGCUUACUAGGGUUGGGAAAACUCAGCACUGGUAAAUAUGUGGUCAGACCGGUUCUCUGCUCUUGAACCCUGUUUUCUGUUGUUUAAGAUGUUUAUCAAGACAAUACGUGCACUGCUGAACAUAGACCCAUAUCAGUGGUUCUGCUUUUGCCCUUUGCCCCGUGAUCUUUGUUGGACCCUUAUCAGUGGUUCGCUUUUGCCCUUUGCCUUGUUCCCUCAGAAGCAUGUGAUCUUUAUUAGACCCUUAUCAGUGGUUCUGCUUUUUGCUCUUUGAAGCAUGUGAUCUUUGUACCUACUCUCUGUUCUUACACCCCCUCCCCUUUUGAAACCCUUAAUAAAAACUUGCUGGUCUGAGACUCAGGUUGGCAUCAUGGUCCUACCAAUAUGUGAUGUCACCCCUGGUGGCCCAGCUGUAAAAUUCCUCUCUUUGUACUGUCUCUCUUUAUUUCUCAGCUGGCCGACACUUAUGGAAAAUAGAAAGAACCUAUGUUGAAAUAUUGGGAGUGAGUUCCCCCGACAGAACACUGUUUACUUUGAACCAUUUAACAUUGGUGCCCAAUUUAAGAUUUUCUACUAGGAAAUAUCAUCCAUUACCCUUCUAUACUUUAUAAGCUCUACAAAAACUUAAGAAAUAGUAGAUAGACAUUAAGCCAUUCCUAAAUAAUAUUUUAGAACUCAACAGACUUUACAUAAAUCUGAAUGGAGGAGUGAUUCUCUACAGAUGUCAGAGACCCAUCAUAGCCAUGGUAUUAUUGGUUAUACCAGGAAGCCCUACUGAACCUGGAAAUAUACUGAACUGUCAUAGACUCCAUGCUAUGCAAAAUCUACACUUGUAAAAAUAUUUUGAGUUGAAUUGACAUUUCUGCUUUUGAAAAACUUUAUCUUCUAACAAGCUAAUAUUCUUUGUUUUCUCCUUCCACCUAUUUGUAAUCUUAAAUAACCACUGUAAAUUGUGUUAAUUCAAGUUUAUUUACUGCACAUGAAAACAGGUCACUGAAAUGUGUAGGUACUGAACAACUUAAAAAAAUGUUUUCACAUGUUUCAAGGUGUUUAAAAUAAGCAUGGAUCUUAAGUACUUACUAAAAAUUAAUUAUAUUGUAAAAUAAAGUGUUCAGUUUGAUGGUAAUAAAAAUUCACUAAAAUACAAAACUACAAAAAUACUAAUAUAAAUGUUAAAAAGAUACAAUUUACACCCUAAAACUUAAAGGAUAAUAAUAAUAAAAUAUAAAAUUAAAAAAAGAUACAAUUUACACAUUUAUUAGAAUUUCUAAUCAGAAAAAUACAAAAUUUAAUAUACUUAAAACUAGAGCUAUACUUUAAACAUUAAAAGGAUAAUUUGAAAACAUAGCCAAUAAUCUAGGCAACUGAAACAAAAGGUCAAACAACAAACCUUCAUUCUUAUUUUGCAGUUUCUAAGCAUUUAAAUGAUAAAUAUUUUUGGCUGACCAUUGGAACAAAUGCAUGAUUUUUCCAGUAAAUAUGUGAAAUAAUAGUCUUCAAAAAUCACUAAUUUACCACUUUAUGUGCUUUUACAAAAAAUGCUAUCAACAUUAUUUUAAUAGAAACUAAUAUUUUUUUAAAAAAAGUGUUCUAGCUGUUCUACACCAAAUACAUUGAUUUAAAAAAAUCCGCUUAGUUUUUCAAAAGUGUUGGGAAUAUUCUAGAUUCUUGCUAUUGUUUGUUUGUUUCUUAGAAUUCACACUGUAUUCCACAACUAUUCCAUGGCAGACAUAGCCACUCUGAUAAGAUCCUUUUGGUGUAGGCAAACAGAGAAUACUAGUACGUUUCCACUAGCAUUCCCAUUCUAUUGGCUGGCAUCAGAAUGUUGUCUUUUCAUGGGGUGUAUUGGUGGACUCUUUUGAAGCUGCCUUCCUCAGGGUAUACAUACUGUACAGUGUGUAUCCUGACUUGGCAGAGCUACUUUUAUGGCAUCUCUUAACCUAUAAAUUAAUGCAGCUGGGCCUUUGUCUCUGCUUCCCUUUCUGCUUGCCCUACUAAUCAUGGCUCACCCAGGAGACUAACAGUCUUCAAAAUUCCUCAGAAGGAAAACAGGCUGUAAACACUGAGUAUACAUAUAUAUACACAUAUAUAUAGUGUGUAUAUAUAUUCAUAUAU
rnacentral:lncRNA from 1 species